AACCUGGAGACAGGUGCUGCAUGGCUGUCGUCAGCUCGUGUCGUGAGAUGUAGGGUUAAGUCCCGCAACGAGCGUCAACCCUUGUCUUUAAUUGCCAUCAUUGAGUUGGGCACUUUAAAGAGACUGCCGGUGUUAAACCGGAGGAAGGUGGGAUGACGUCAAGUCAGCAUGACCUUUAUAUCCAGGGCUACACACACGCUACAAUGGUCUGUACAAUGGGUAGCCAAGCCGCGAGGCGGAGCCAAGUCCUGAAAAGCAAGGCCUCAGUUCAGAUUGCAGUCUGCAACUCGACUGCAUGAAGCCGGAGUUGCUAGUAACCGCAGGUCAGCAAUACUGCGGUGAAUACGUUCCCGGGUCUU
rnacentral:rRNA from 1 species